rnacentral:rRNA from 1 species
UGCUUGGGAAUAUGCCUUAGGGUGGGGGACAACAGUUGGAAACGACUGCUAAUACCGCAUAACGUCUACGGACCAAAGAGGGGGAUCUUCGGACCUCUUGCCCUUUGAUUAGCCCAAGUGAGAUUAGCUAGUUGGUAAGGUAAUGGCUUACCAAGGCGACGAUCUCUAGCUGGUUUGAGAGGAUGAUCAGCCACACUGGGACUGAGACACGGCCCAGACUCCUACGGGAGGCAGCAGUGGGGAAUAUUGCACAAUGGGCGCAAGCCUGAUGCAGCCAUGCCGCGUGUGUGAAGAAGGCCU